UGUGGAUGAUGCAACUCUCUUCCCUGACUGAACAGGUGGAGGUUCCAAACUGAUUUAAUGAGGCUGACGC